rnacentral:rRNA from 1 species
AAUUAGUUUUGUCAGAGGAUGAUUGACGAGAGUUUAUCACUCUUGUUCGUCUACCUUUGAUAGACUUUAGUCGGGCUGGGUCUUCGGUCCACGUCUGACAGUUGCUGCGUGUUUACUUACCACGGUUUAUCCGUGAGGCCCUUGGCUUGCAACUGUAAAUAAAUCGUUGUGCUUAAAGCGGGCUAUGAUACUCUGCCAGAGCGAUUUAGCAUGGGACUGCAGAGUAGCUGUAUUUGAGUGAAGGUUGUAUUUCGGUAUGACUGGAUCUUGGUACAGCGCUUGUAAUGGAGCUCAGGGUGAGGCCCCGGGUACCAUGAGGCUAGAGGUGAAAUUCUGAGACCCUCAUGUGACCAACUAAGGCGAAAGCUGUCGUGGGCCACCACAAGCUCGUCUAUCAGGGACGAAAGUUGGGGGAUCGAAGACGAUUAGAUACCGUCGUAGUCCCAACUAUAAACGAUACCAACCGAGUAUUUGGGAAGACACUAUCCCAGCGAUCUUCUCAGAACUCAAGGGAAACCUUAAGUCUUUGGGUUCUGGGGGGAGUAUAGUCGCAAGACCGAAACUUAAAGGAAUUGACGGAAAGGCACCACCAGGAGUGGAGUCUGCGGCUUAAUUCGACUCAACACGGGGAAACUCACCAGGUCAGGACACAAGUUUGAUUGACAGGUUAAUAGCCCUUUCUUGAUUGUGUGGUGGGUAGUGCAUGCCGUUUCCAGUUCGUGGAGUGAUCUGUCUUGUUAAUUCAGAUAACGAACGAGACCUAAGCCUUUAACUAGCCGUAGGCCUUUUCCUUCGGGGAAAGGUUUAGUUUGUCGGGACAGGUUCUGCCUGUUCCUAAACCUACGAGACUUUUGUCAGCUUCUUAAAGGGACUUCAUUCGUAAACUAGGAUGAGGAAGAUUUAGGCCAUAACAGGUCUGUGAUGCUCUUAGAUGUCCUGGGCUGCACGCGUACUACAAUAACGGUACCAGCGAGCGCUAUGGUUUUAUAACCCCUUAUCCUAAUAGGAUUGGGAAAACUUUUCAAACACCGUUAUGACAGGGAUCGAGGAUUGGAACAUCCUCGUGAACGAGGAAUUCCUAGUAAGCGUGGUUCAUCAUACCACAUUGAUUACGUCCCUGCCUUUUGUACACACCGCCCGUCGCUCCUACCGAUGGGACGAAGAGAUGAACCUGGCGGACCGAACCGCAAGGUAAGGGAAACCAGUUAAAUCUCUUCGUCUGUAGGAAGGAAAAGUCGUAA